AAAGAAAUAUUUGGUAAAAAAAGCUUCUAACUUUUAAAAAAGCAUUAACAUGUUUAU
rnacentral:tRNA from 1 species